GACGAAGGGGGCUAGCGUUGUUCGGAAUUACUGGGCGUAAAGCGCGUGUAGGCGGUUAUCCAAGUCGGGUGUGAAAGCCUUGAGCUCAACUCAAGAAAUGCACUCGGUACUGGGUGACUAGAGGACCGGAGAGGAUGGUGGAAUUCCCAGUGUAGUGGUGAAAUACGUAGAGAUUGGGAAGAACACCAGUGGCGAAGGCGGCUAUCUGGACGGUUUCUGACGCUAAGACGCGAAAGCGUGGGGAGCAAACAGG
rnacentral:rRNA from 1 species